UCCACUAUAGUUCAGUGGUAGAACACCUGGUUUGACCUAAAAGUCGGCGCAUGGGAACGUCGGAGGUUCGAUUCCUUCUGGUGGCA